rnacentral:rRNA from 1 species
AGCAGCCGCGGUAAUUCCAGCUCCAAUAGCGUAUAUUAAAGUUGUUGCAGUUAAAAAGCUCGUAGUUGAAUUUCGGGAUCAAUUAAUUGGUCGUGCCUCUGGUACGUACUGAUUUUAUUGGUUUCUCCCUUCUGACGAACCAUGAUGUCAUUAAUUUGGUGUCGUGGAGAAUCAGGACUGUUACUUUGAAAAAAUUAGAGUGUUUAAAGCAAGCUAACGCUUGAAUACAUUAGCAUGGAAUAAUGAAAUAGGACGUUUGAUCCUAUUUUAUUGGUUUCUAGGAUCGACGUAAUGAUUAAUAGGGAUAGUUGGGGGCAUUAGUAUUCAAUUGUCAGAGGUGAAAUUCUUGGAUUUAUUGAAGACUAACUACUGCGAAAGCAUUUGCCAAGGAUGUUUUCAUUAAUCAAGAACGAAAGUUAGGGGAUCGAAGACGAUCAGAUACCGUCGUAG